AGCGAACGCUGGCGGCGUGCUUAACACAUGCAAGUCGAACGUGAAAUGUAGCAAUACAGAGUAAAGUGGCGUACGGGUGAGUAACACGUGGGUAAUCUACCAAAGUGUCUGGAAUAACCGAUCGAAGGUUGGCUAAUACUGGAUAGUUCAAGCUUGUUAUAAUGGCAAGAUUGGGAAAGGGAGCUGGCAACAGCCUUCGCAUUUUGAUGAGCUCGCGUCUGAUUAGUUAGUUGGUAAGGUAAUGGCUUACCAAGACGAAGAUCAGUAGCUGGUCUGAGAGGAUGAUCAGCCACACUGGAACUGAAACACGGUCCAGACUCCUACGGGAGGCAGCAGUGGGGAAUCUUGCGCAAUGGACGAAAGUCUGACGCAGCCACGCCGCGUGAGUGAAGAAGG
rnacentral:rRNA from 1 species